CAUGGGUCCGCUUCUGUACCACUUUGCUGAUGCCCAUGGACCAGAUGAUGAUAUGUCUAUCGAACUAAGUUUGGAAGAUGUGAAAAGGGUAGCUUACCAUUAUGGGUUUGUGAUGGAGGUGGAGAAGAUGAUAGAUACCAUGUACACGGCAAAUAUGGCAUCGAUGAUGCAG